UUAUCGAGAUAUGGCGGGAGAGUUGCCGUGGGGAUGCCAACCCUCGGGCAGUUCCCUCCAAGAUUUAGCCUCGGGCGGGUGUGCGCUGCCCUUGGUCCCUUUCCCUACCUUUGUUGUGCACUGUUUGUUCUCGCAGUACAGGAGAAGAGUGCAGGUAAAUAGUUUGUGAUCCCAAGAGAACACAAGAGUCCGUGAAAUGAAGAAGGACUGAGAAAAGUGUUGCCAUGACAGGCCAUGUUUGUCUGCCUGUCUGUCUGUGCGUCUGCCCAGGUGUUGCCAGGAUAGGCCAGGAGAAGAAAAAAAGAAGAAAAGAGGAGGAGGAGGAAGAGAAGAUGAAUGAAAUGGAGUCGAUCAUUACAGAAGGAGAGGAAGAGGCAGCCCAAUACUUCUCAAGAAACUACAAGGUUCUUCUGAGAAGAAAAAGAAGAAAAAAGAAGAGGAGGAGGAAGAGAAGAUGAAUAAAAUGGACUCAAUCAUUAGAAAGGGAGAGGGAGUAGAGGAAGCACCACCACCACCACCACUACUACAAGUACUACUAUUAACACCACUACUACUACUAUUACUACAGUUUUAAAUAUGCACACAAUGAGAGAGAGAGAGAGAGAGAGAGAGAGAGAGAGAGAGAGAGAGAGAGAGAGAGAGAGAGAGAGAGAGUUUAAGCCGUAAAUAGUAAGUGUGUUUAAUGUUUCUUUUAUUUGCUGUCAUGUUGGUUUACUUAUUAUUAUUAUUAUUGUUGUUGUUGUUGUUGUUGUUGUUGUUGUUGUUGUUAUAAUCAUCGUCAUCAUCAUCAUUACUAUAUUACCAUGAUCAUGAUGUUAUGUCAAGGAUUACAUCAGAUGCAAAUCAAUAAGUGAAUAAGGCCCUCCUCCUCCUCCUCCUCCUCCUCCUCCUCCUCCUCCUCCUCCUCUCCUCCUCCUCUCCU